rnacentral:lncRNA from 1 species
CCCAUGGUAUCCCAAGCAGGCAUUCCCGCUCUUCUGGAAGGCAGUGCUGCUGCAGGGUUGGCUCCAGGACCGUCCUCAUCCAGCAUCCCCCAAGAGAUGGCAGCUGGCAUGUCCCCGACCACUCUACUGCCAGCAAUUGGUGCUUCAAGUGACCCCCACCAGGAUGGCAGCACCAUGGGGCGAGUGGUAGGGACAACAUCCCUGGAGGUGGGCACAGAGGAGAGCCCAGGUGCCAGUGCAGCAGGGCCAGUUUCCAGCCACGUAAUCGUCACUGCUGGGUCAUCACCAGAGCCAACUGCUCAAGGGACAGAUGCUCCAGAAACCAGGCCCACAGCGGAUCUGCCUCUCCUGGCUCCCAGGGGUGGUCGCUCAGCCCCACCAGCCGUGGCUAAGCCCAGCCCAGCACAGGCUGUGGCAAGCCACCUCCUCAGCACCACCACUGGCAAGACACCCCAGCCUGUGACACUGCUUCUCCCUAAAAACACAGCCAUGGACAAAGGUGGGGGCAGGUCCCAGCUGGCAGAAGAUGGCAGAGUCACACGGACAGCUCCAGGCUCAACCCUGCUUGAAAAUGCGAGGUUGGGUGCCACAACAGGUAUGCCUGACAGUAGUGACACCACCCUUGGGACAGCCCCACCAGUGCCACCCACCACCACUGCCAGCAUCACUGCUCAGCAAGGCGGGACAGCCCCACCAGUGCCACCCACCACCACAGCCAGCAUCACUGCUCAGCAAAGCGCAGCUGCAUUGGACCACAGCUAUCAUACUGCUAAGCCCAUCACAGACCUGGACAUGGACCUGGACAUGGGUAUGGCUUCUCCCACCACAGAGAAUGGGCCUGCAGAGCUGCUCCUGGGGUUGCCCACUCCUAUGGCUGGAGCGGCUGAGCCAAGCACCAGUGAUGCCACCCCAUCGGCACGCUCUGCCCUAGGCAGCAAAAGACCUACAGCAGUGGCUGUCAUGCGUAUGGUGUCACCCACAGCUCCAGAGCUGGUUGUGACACCUUACCUUGGCCUCGCUCACAGCACUGCUGAGCCAGAUGUCAGUAUUUCCUCUCCUGUCCCUGGGAACACCCAUCUGGUGGUGGUGGCACCUUCUGUCACCCCCAGCAUCACCAUCAAUGGUCCAGCAGUGGGAGCAGGUGAUGCCAGUCUCAGCAGUGCCUCCGCUCCACGCAGCCCCCGUGCUGCCAUGAGGCCAUACCCUGAGGCCAC